ensembl:lncRNA
AGGUUCCAUCCAUGUUGACCAGUCAAACUGCCACGGUCAGAGGUUCCAUGUUAACCAGUCAAACUGCCUCGGUCAGAAGUUCCAUGUUAACUAGUCAAACUGCCUCGGUCAGAGGUUCCAUCCAUGUUAACCAGUCAAACUGCCUCGGUCAGAGGUUCCAUCCAUGUUAACCAGUCAAACUGCCACGGUCAAAGGUUCCAUCCAUGUUAACCAGUCAAACUGCCACGGUCAGAGGUUCCAUCCAUAUUAACCAGUCAAACUGCCACGGUCAGAAGUUCCAUGUUAACCAGUCAAACUGCCACGGUCAGAGGUUCCAUCCAUGUUAACCAGUCAAACUGCCACGGUCAGAGGUUCCAUGUUAACCAGUCAAACUGCCUCGGUCAGAGGUUCCAUCCAUGUUAACUAGUCAAACUGCCACGGUCAGAGGUUCCAUGUUAACCAGUCAAACUGCCUCGGUCAGAGGUUCCAUCCAUGUUAACCAGUCAAACUGCCACGGUCAGAGGUUCCAUGUUAACCAGUCAAACUGCCACGGUCAGAGGUUCCAUGUUAACCAGUCAAACUGCCACGGUCAGAAGUUCCAUGUUAACCAGUCAAACUGCCACGGUCAGAGGUUCCAUCCAUGUUAACCAGUCAAACUGCCUCGGUCAGAGGUUCCAUGUUAACCAGUCAAACUGCCUCAGUCAGAGGUUCCAUCCAUGUUAACCAGUCAAACUGCC